rnacentral:lncRNA from 1 species
AAUACCCGUUGCAUGUUUAUGUAACAACGAUUGUAAAAAGUGCAUUGUCACUGCCCGAGUGACCCGAUCUUCAAGGAAAAAUUCAAGGGACUCGGGUAAAGUCCCGAGUUACGAAGAACAUCGGGGAAUAACGCGCGGCUUUUCACUCCGUACAAAGCUAAAAAAGAAACUAAUCGCCACAAUCCGGAGUGUUUCGAAGUAUGAAAUUUUUUUCCUCGUACUCACGUGAUCGUGACGUCACUGAACGCGACUUAUUAUUACGUACAGCUGUAAGGUAUCGUACGUACAGUAAUUGAGAUUAAUCUUUCGACGCGAAACAGAUUGGCCAAUUAAAAUCGUUAUAUUUGUCACGUCUAACCGCGUCUCUAGAUUUAGAUAAAUAAAAUCCGAGUGGAUUAAACGCAGCGAUGAAACGAACGCUUUGUAGAAGAGAAAAAAAUCAAAGAAGAAAAAAAAAAAAAAAAAUAAGAAAAGAAUCCAGUUCGCGACGGUGUGGGAAACAACCGUCAUUACUUUUCUAUAAAAAAAAACUUGAAACGAUUAUUUGACAGUCGUCGAGAUAUCGAUUGUGCCUUAUACAGGGUGUCCCAAUUUCAAAUACGCAUUACGUACAAUUGAAACAUUACGUUGGCAAAAAUGUAAUGCGUCUUUUCAAUUGGGACACCCUGUACAGAUACAUAUAUUACAAUCAUAUAUUAUCCGAAAGUGCGUAAAUAGUUAUCUCGAUUUUUGUUGGAUUUGAGGCGUUUGAAAAUAAUUUUUAGCAAAAAUCUCUGACGAUUAGAUGCAAUAGGCCUUUACUAUAUUUUAACGACGCGUGCAUAGAAAAACUUUACACCGGAAGAAGAAGAAAGCGGAUGAUCUAAAACUACAACGCAGUUCAAGAUAUUAGCCAUCGAUAUACGGUAUACGGUCUCCCGUAUAUUUGCUCGACAAUUAAGGGGUGAAAAGGUCAAUAAUCCUUGAAGCGAACCACUCUUAGGUUCCAACAAUUUCACUCUGGCAAAACCGCACCACGGUUGCAGCGCGUCUUGCCGUUUCUGUUGUCUCGAUCGUCGCAGCAAGGCGAACAAACGUCCAACGGAUAAAUGUUGUUGCCUGGAUAAGAGACUUCGAUUCGCUUG